GACGAACGCUGGCGGCGUGCCUAAUACAUGCAAGUCGAACGAACCGCGACUAGGUGCUUGCACUUGGUCAAGGUGAGUGGCGAACGGGUGAGUAACACGUGGGUAACCUACCUCAUAGUGGGGGAUAACAGUCGGAAACGACUGCUAAUACCGCAUAGGACAUAGGAUCACAUGAUCCAGUGAGGAAAGGUGGCGCAAGCUAUCGCUAAGAGAUGGACCCGCGGUGCAUUAGCUAGUUGGUAGGGUAAAGGCCUACCAAGGCGAUGAUGCAUAGCCGACCUGAGAGGGUGAUCGGCCACAUUGGGACUGAGACACGGCCCAAACUCCUACGGGAGGCAGCAGUAGGGAAUCUUCCGCAAUGGACGCAAGUCUGACGGAGCAACGCCGCGUGAGUGAAGAAGGUCUUCGGAUCGUAAAGCUCUGUUGUUAGAGAAGAACAGCGCAUAGAGUAACUGUUAUGCGUGUGACGGAUC
rnacentral:rRNA from 1 species